ACCUUGCUGAAGAGUGUCAAGUAGCACGAAACCCGUGUCCAAGGU
rnacentral:hammerhead_ribozyme from 1 species